AAUACAAAAACAUAAAAAAGGAAAGAUAAUUUAAAUCUUUUAUGGUCGUUGUGAGAAUUGUAAAAUUGUUGCAAUGUAGUCCUAUAUAUCUACGGGAAAAUAUGAGUGUAAUCAAUUUCUCUAACAUCAUAUAUCAGGCCACGAUUCAGUGUCUUAGGAGGGUCAAUUUGAUCUGCUCCACAAACGAAUUCAACAUCAAAAUUAUUUAUGGGAUUCAAUUGUUUAGCUCCAACAAAUGCAACACAAUGUUUUUUUUUUAUAUUCGCUUACAACAAAUUAUACUCACAUCAAAUCAAAUAAAUUGGAAUUACACUAUCCUUUAGUAAGAAUAACUGAAUAAUCAUUGAAAUUUUUUAUUUAUUUUAAAUCUAUCCAUAUCACUUAUAAGUAAAUACUUUAUAAUUAAUUUUGUAAACUACUCCACUGUACUAACCUGCCCUUUCUGUGAAGUGAUUACCCAACCACUCCACUGUACUAACCUGCCAAUUCUGUGAAGUGAUUAAUUACCCAACCACUCCACUGUACUAACCUGCCCUUUCUGCUUGGGGUCCCCCUCCAACCCAACCCUUCCCUUUAUCUGAGUCCUUCUUCUCUCCUAAGGGCACAUGUUCCUUUACGAGAGGUGCCUCAUUCCUUUGAUAACGACAUUCCCACCUCUCAACACCCAUAUCCCUAUCUUCCUCUAUUUAAAAGGAGUUCCAAUCAAUCUUGGUCUGUGAAAAUGAUCAUUCUCAAUUAAUUAUGUGACUAAGUUUGGUCACCAGUGUUACCGUCACGAUAUUUUCAAAGUUUGGUUAUCUUGAGUUUGAAUUAUAUACGUGACAUAAUAAUAUCUAAUAGCGAUGUAGCAUUGCGUGUCUUAUUUAUCUAUACACCCUUUGGGCUUGGCGUCCAAUUAUACAAGUUGAAUUUUGGACAGUACUCUAGUAAUGUUAGUUACACAUGCUAUCAUAUGAAAAAUGGAAUGAUAAUCAUUUUGUACUGUUUUGGAUUUGAAAUGCCAAAUUGAUGAACUAAGUGACCUUAAAAUAGUAGAGACAAAGAGUGUGAUAAGUAGCAUGGAGGACAAGUAGUGAAGAAUAGAGGCAACCCAUAAUGAGGAUGUGGAAAUGAGGUUUGUGUUUCCUUUUACUGUUUUGAUUUCGAUUGAAUUUUCAUUUUGUUCAAUUGCAUACUCCAAAUGAGGUUUGUGUUUGACAACAUAUGUUCAUUAUUUCAUCUGUCAUUUUAUAUCUUGACUCUUUUAGUUUUACACAUUCAAGUCCCCUUCAACCAAGUUGAAAGACAAAAAAGAAGGUAAUAUUUUACAAAUGUUUAUAAAUCUAAAAUGUCAAAUAUAUUGCAGUGGGUAUUUUAUAUAUUAUGGUUUUGUUCUUCAUCUUUUGAUUAAAAAAUGGUUGUGUGCGGAUUGAAUGUGGCCGUACAUGUAACUUUUGCUCUUUUUGUUUUUGUUUGCAAUAUUAGAUGGAGGUCUAACAAAAGAUCAUGAGUUUGAUCGUGAAUCGAAGAACAAGAUGAAGACAUAUUUCGUAUUUUGUUUUUAACAAGUGUACAAUUUUUUGCCAGUAAUAUACAAUUUAUUCAAUAAUAAUAUAAAAAUAGUAAACUAACUAUUACAAUAUAUAUGUAAUUUUUACAGUAUAAAUUGACACUCUUGCCUUUCUCCGCUCAUUCAUCAAAUAUAAUAAUGAGACUAGUAAUAUACAAUUUAUUCAAUAAUAAUAUAAAAAUAGUAAACUAACUAUUACAAUAUAUAUGUAAUUUUUACCGUAUAAAUUGACACUCUUGCCUUUCUCCGCUCAUUCAUCAAAUAUAAUAAUGAGGCUCCUCACUUGAUAUUUACCAUCAUCCCAAAUCAAAGAA